AAUAUACUUGAGCAUUGACGUUAUCUACAGAAGAAGCACUGGCUAACUCUGUGCCAGCAGCCGCGGUAAUACAGAGAGUGCAAGCGUUAAUCGGAAUCACUGGGCGUAAAGCGCGCGUAGGUGGAUGUUUAAGUCGGAUGUGAAAGCCCUAGGCUUAACCUAGGAACUGCAUUCGAUACUGAAUAUCUCGAGUAUGGUAGAGGGAAGUGGAAUUUCCGGUGUAGCGGUGAAAUGCGUAGAUAUCGGAAAGAACACCAGUGGCGAAGGCGGCUUCCUGGACCAAUACUGACACUGAGGUGCGAAAGCGUGGGGAGCAAACAGGAUUAGAGACCCUGGUAGUCCACGCCGUCAACGAUGAGAACUAGCUGUUGGGAAGUUUACUUUCUAGUAGCGAAGCWAACGCGUUAAGUUCUCCGCCUGGGGAGUACGGCCGCAAGGUUAAAACUCAAAGAAAUGAGGGAGACCCGGCCUCAAAAGGGGGGUAA
rnacentral:rRNA from 1 species